CUUCCAGGAUUUACUCCACUGGCAUCUUCUAGACAGCAGGGUAGAGAUCCCUUUUUCAACCCUGGCCUAGGUAGUCUCUGUUGAGGGCUGAGAUGCCAGAUUUGGUCCCAAUACCAGCUUUGCUUGUUAGGCCAUUAAUUCCUUGAUUCUUCUCCACAGGUCUGCUUAGCAUGUAUGUACCUACCUUGCUGCAUAAGGGAGAAAUCUCUACUUAACCAGUUUUGUUUUUGUGUAAUGAGAAGGAUCUCUAAAUGACCAUUUGUUGCAGAGCCCCCAGCUCCAUAGAAUCUCUGUCUGCCACAGGUGUAACCCUUUAGUAAACCUGAACUAUGCUGUGCUGCUGUACAAUCAGGGCGAGAAGAAGAAUGCCCUGGCCCAAUAUCAGGAGAUGGAGAAGAAAGUCAACCUACUCAAGGACAAUAGCUCUCUGGAAUUUGACUCUGAGAUGGUGGAGAUGGCUCAGAAGUUGGGAGCUGCUCUCCAGGUUGGGGAGGCACUGGUCUGGACUAAACCAGUUAAAGAUCCCAAAUCAAAGCACCAGAUCACUUCAACCAGCAAACCUGCCAGUUUCCAGCAGCCUCUGGGCUCUAAUCAAGCUCUAGGACAGGCAAUGUCUUCAGCAGCUGCAUACAGGACGCUCCCCUCAGGUAGGAUCAUACAGAGCUCCAUGAAGACCUGGCAGGUACAAGCCACAUGUGUCAGCAAAGAGAUUAUAGCUUUCAGUGAGGUUCUCUUCAGACUCAUAUGUCCAAUGUAGUAUUGGCCACAAGGGGA
rnacentral:sRNA from 1 species